UGCUGUGUGUGAGAGUGCUAUGAUGUGUGUGAGAGUGCUAUGAUGUGUGUGAGAGUGCUGCGAUGUGUGAGAUUGCUGUGUAUGAUGUGUGUGAGAGUGCUGUGUGUGAGAGUGCUAUGAUGUGUGUGAGAGUGCUGCGUGUGAUGUGUGAGAGUGCUAUGAUGUGUGAGAGUGCUGCGCUGUGUGUGAGAGUGCUGUGUGUGAGAGUGUUGUGUGUUGUGAGUGCUGGGUGUGAUAGUGCUGUGUGUGAUGUGUGUGAGAGUGCUGCAUGUGA